CACGUAGGGGGCGAGCGUUGUCCGGAUUUAUUGGGCGUAAAGAGCUCGUAGGCGGUUUCGUAAGUCGGAUGUGAAAACUCCAGGCUCAACUUGGAGACGCCAUUCGAUACUGCGAUGACUUGAGUCCGGUAGGGGAGUGUGGAAUUCCUGGUGUAGCGGUGAAAUGCGCAGAUAUCAGGAAGAACACCGGUGGCGAAGGCGCUCUGCUGGACCUUAACUGACACUGAGGGACGAAAGCUAGGGGAGCGAAUGGG
rnacentral:rRNA from 1 species